ACGAACGCUGGCGGCGUGCUUAACACAUGCAAGUCGAACGGAAAGGCCCUGCUUUUGUGGGGUGCUCGAGUGGCGAACGGGUGAGUAACACGUGAGUAACCUGCCCUUGACUUUGGGAUAACUUCAGGAAACUGGGGCUAAUACCGGAUAGGAGCUCCUGCUGCAUGGUGGGGGUUGGAAAGUUUCGGCGGUUGGGGAUGGACUCGCGGCUUAUCAGCUUGUUGGUGGGGUAGUGGCUUACCAAGGCUUUGACGGGUAGCCGGCCUGAGAGGGUGACCGGCCACAUUGGGACUGAGAUACGGCCCAGACUCCUACGGGAGGCAGCAGUGGGGAAUAUUGCACAAUGGGCGGAAGCCUGAUGCAGCAACGCCGCGUGCGGGAUGACGGCCUUCGGGUUGUAAACCGCUUUCGCCUGUGACGAAGCGUGAGUGACGGUAAUGGGUAAAGAAGCACCGGCUAACUACGUGCCAGCAGCCGCGGUGAUACGUAGGGUGCGAGCGUUGUCCGGAUUUAUUGGGCGUAAAGGGCUCGUAGGUGGUUGAUCGCGUCGGAAGUGUAAUCUUGGGGCUUAACCCUGAGCGUGCUUUCGAUACGGGUUGACUUGAGGAAGGUAGGGGAGAAUGGAAUUCCUGGUGGAGCGGUGGAAUGCGCAGAUAUCAGGAGGAACACCAGUGGCGAAGGCGGUUCUCUGGGCCUUUCCUGACGCUGAGGAGCGAAAGCGUGGGGAGCGAACAGGCUUAGAUACCCUGGUAGUCCACGCUGUAAACGGUGGGUACUAGGUGUGGGGUCCAUUCCACGGGUUCCGUGCCGUAGCUAACGCUUUAAGUACCCCGCCUGGGGAGUACGGCCGCAAGGCUAAAACUCAAAGGAAUUGACGGGGCCCCGCACAAGCGGCGGAGCAUGCGGAUUAAUUCGAUGCAACGCGUAGAACCUUACCUGGGUUUGACAUGGAUCGGGAGUGCUCAGAGAUGGGUGUGCCUCUUUUGGGGUCGGUUCACAGGUGGUGCAUGGCUGUCGUCAGCUCGUGUCGUGAGAUGUUGGGUUAAGUCCCGCAACGAGCGCAACCCUUGUUCACUGUUGCCAGCACGUUAUGGUGGGGACUCAGUGGAGACCGCCGGGGUCAACUCGGAGGAAGGUGGGGAUGACGUCAAGUCAUCAUGCCCCUUAUGUCCAGGGCUUCACGCAUGCUACAAUGGCUGGUACAGAGAGUGGCGAGCCUGUGAGGGUGAGCGAAUCUCGGAAAGCCGGUCUCAGUUCGGAUUGGGGUCUGCAACUCGACCUCAUGAAGUCGGAGUCGCUAGUAAUCGCAGAUCAGCAACGCUGCGGUGAAUACGUUCCCGGGGCUUGUACACACCGCCCGUCAAGUCAUGAAAGUUGGUAACACCCGAAGCCGGUGGCCUAACCGUUGUGGGGGAGCCGUCGAAGGUGGGACUG
rnacentral:rRNA from 1 species